CUCAAAGCUAUCUACCGUAUUGUUGUCAGAACGAUACAGUAGAUCGUUACAGUAAAAAUCUAGUAGAUAACUUUUUCGUAUUGUUACCGUAACUAUACAAUAUACUUCUCAGAACAAUAUUUUUUUCUCCGUGCAGGCUCGCGCCAAGGCUUGGUAGCGUUGGCUGACGACUGGCCGAGGUCUGGUCCAAGUCUUGCCCAAUGGUUCCUUCCUACCAGGGAUACCAAAAUUUUUUUUAAGUUGCGUCAUGAUAAGUGGAAAAUAAUUCAGAAGAAAUUUGAUGUUAAAAUCAAUUAUGAUUUAUUAAAUUAAUAAUCAAUAAUUAAAUAACUACGCGCCCUGCACGCGCCCAAAAAAUAGUACUGACCUGAUGUUUACAUCUGUCAACAUAAAAAGUUACUAAAUGGCAAAUACAAUGCUGAAAUUUAUUAAAGAAACUACGCUCAACUGGGUACUUAUAAUUACUCUCUAGUACUUUUUUUAGUGCAGCUGCCAGCCACCAGGCGGCGCCACAUUUUUUGGAAAAAAAGUGGGGGGCACCCUUGGAGAAUGGCCUUAAUUCUAUUUUCAACACGUGAAACGUUUCGGAAUGGCUAUAAUUUUUUUAAAAACAAUUGUAUUUACCGAUAAGUUUAAUGUUAGGCAUGGGCGGUGGCGUUGAUAGAAGAAUAUUUUCUGGUUUUAUAUCCAAGUGAGCAACUUGAUGCGAAUUUAUGGUGUUAGGCAGCAGCAGCUGGAGUAGUUCGGUGCUCACCACUAGAUCGCGCCCACCAUUUGUGGUGUCCCUGGUAAGAUACUUAUUUCAGAGUUUUUAUAUUCCGAGCUUGAAGCAUUUAUAGGAUGAGAUAUCCGCUGAAAACUUAUGAUAGUAAUGUAGGCGUAUCCUGUAUUACACUAUGACAUUAAUGUUUCAUAUUAAUAUUUUUCCUGAACAAUUUUUGUCCUAGUUCGAAAAAAAGUACGUGUGAAGGAAAUAAAUUAUUUUUCUAAAUAUGCAUUUAUUUAACUGUUAAAUAAAGAUUCUGUCAUUUUAAAAUAAUAUUUAAUUAUUAUUAAUAACUCAUUCUCUAUAAUGAUCACUCAUAUAUUUCAUUAUGACUACUUUAUAAACACUACAGGUAAUCAAUUUGAUUUUAUGCUUGCUACUAAACGCGUAAUUAUUUUUACUAAAUAUUUCAUAGUUUCUAAUCACUCGUUUUGUUGGUGGAUUAUAAAAAAUUUAGUUAAAACAACAAAAUAUAUGAUUGGCAAUGGCUAAUCAAAUCAUUUUCUUGUCAUAACUAAAAUUUAGUUGUCAGGAGAAAAUUUUUUUCUCAGUGUACCUACUAGCGAUUUUUAAUCGCUACCUACUAGCGAAAAUAUCGCUAGCUGCUCGCGAAAUAAUCGCUAGCAGCUAGCGAUUAUUUUUUUCAGUGUAAUAUGUAACUAAUACUUCGAAUCAAUUUUUAUAUUUUUUUAUAACUCAAUUAUUAUCAUUUCAAUAAAAUACAACUUUUGUUUAACCGAAAAUAUACUGGACACCCUGAUUAAACAAAAUGAUUAAAAAUGAUUUCACACGUUAAAUGUCCAUAAGAGACAGGAUUAGAAAUGAUUUGAAGGAUUAAAAAGUAUUUAAAAUGAUUAAAAAACAAAUCAUUUUAAAUCAUUUUUAAUCAUUUUGUUUAAUCAGGGCAGUCUUCAACAAUAAAAUUGGGUAAGAUUUGAAUAACAAAACAAAAACCUAAAAAUUAAAAGUAUGUAAAUAACUA